UACGUAGGGGGCAAGCGUUGUCCGGAUUUAUUGGGCGUAAAGAGCGUGUAGGCGGUUUUACAGGUCCGCUGUGAAAACUCGGGGCUUAACCCCGAGCCUGCAGUGGAUACGGGCAGACUAGAGGUAGGUAGGGGAGAAUGGAAUUCCCGGUGUAGCGGUGAAAUGCGCAGAUAUCGGGAGGAACACCGGUGGCGAAGGCGGUUCUCUGGGCCUUACCUGACGCUGAGGAGCGAAAGCGUGGGGAGCGAACAGG
rnacentral:rRNA from 1 species